GACGAACGCUGGCGGCGUGCCUAAUACAUGCAAGUAGAACGCACAGUUUAUACCGUAGCUUGCUACACCAUAGACUGUGAGUUGCGAACGGGUGAGUAACGCGUAGGUAACCUGCCUGGUAGCGGGGGAUAACUAUUGGAAACGAUAGCUAAUACCGCAUAAUAUUGAUUAUUGCAUGAUAAUUAAUUCAAAGGUGCAAUUGCACCACUACCAGAUGGACCUGCGUUGUAUUAGCUAGUAGGUGAGGUAGCGGCUCACCUAGGCGACGAUACAUAGCCGAACUGAGAGGGUGAUCGGCCACACUGGGACUGAGACACGGCCCAGACUCCUACGGGAGGCAGCAGUAGGGAAUCUUCGGCAAUAGACGAAAGUCUGACCGAGCAACGCCGCGUGAGUGAAGAAGGUUUUCGGAUCGUAAAGCUCUGUUGUAAGAGAAGAACGGGUGUGAGAGUGGAAAGUUCACACUGUGACGGUAUCUUACCAGAAAGGGACGGCUAACUACGUG
rnacentral:rRNA from 1 species